UAAAACAUACUGAAAUGACUCGUGUUGUUUGUAGGGUCAGUCGGUAGUCCUGAAAGUAGUUUGUGGCGUUACAAAUUCAACCUCAUGCUCCAAAUUCAUUUAUAUAAAUUGAGCAAAGGGAAUUCCAAAGAAGUUUCAGAAACAAGCAAGCCACGAAAAAUAAAAUUAAAUGAUGAACACGAUCAAUCAACACCAGAUAAGUUAGUGGAAAGCAUCAGAG
rnacentral:lncRNA from 1 species